AUGGGGGAAGAAUUUGACCUAAAGGCCUUGCUGUUCGUGACCAUCAAUGAUUGGCCUGCUCUUAGUAACCUUUCAGGACAGACAAACAAGGGAUACCACGCAUGCACGCACUGUUUGGAUGAUACCGACAGUAUAUAUUUGGACAAUUGUAGGAAGAAUGUGUACCUGGGACAUCGUCGAUUUCUUCCGAGCAGGCAUCCCGUAAGAAAGAAAGGCAAGCAUUUCAAAGGUGAGGCGGAUCACCGGACGAAGCCUCGCCACCGUACUGGUGCUGAUGUACAUGAUAUGGUCAAGGAUCUGAAGGUAGUCUUUGGAAAGGGUCCUGGCGGACAACCUGUUCCGAAUGACGCUGACGGACGCGCACCCAUGUGGAAGAAGAAAUCUAUAUUUUGGGACCUGCCCUAUUGGAAAGAUCUAGAGGUCCGCUCUGCAAUCGACGUGAUGCACGUGACGAAGAAUCUUUGCGUGACCCUGCUUGGCUUCUUGGGCGUGUAUGGGAAGACAAAAGAUACACCUGAGGCACGGGAGGACCAGCAACGUAUGCAUGGAAAAUACGGCAUACAUCAGGGUCAUGCCAGCUACGCUCUUACCAAAGAAGAGAAGGAAAUCUUCUUUGAAUGCCUGCUUAGUAUUAAGGUACCGUCUGGCUUCUCGUCGAAUAUAAAGAGAAUAAUAAACAUGGCAGAGAAAAAGUUCCAGAACCUAAAGUCUCAUGACUGCCACGUGAUUAUGACGCAACUGCUUCCGGUUGCAUUGAGGGGGCUUCUACCGGAUAACGUUCGAUUAGCCAUUGUGAAGCUAUGUGCAUUCCUCAAUGCAAUCUCUCAGAAGGUAAUCGAUCCAGAAAUCAUACCAAGGUUAGAGAAUGAUUUGGUGCAAUGUCUUGUCUGUUUCGAGUUGGUGUUCCCACCAUCCUUCUUCAACAUCAUGACGCACGUCUUAGUUCACCUAUACGAAGAGAUUAACGUUUUGGGUCCUGUAUUUCUACACAAUAUGUUCCCCUUUGAGAGGUUCAUGGGAGUCUUAAAGAAAUAUGUUCAUAACCGUGCUAGGCCAGAAGGAAGCAUCUCCAAGGGCCAUGAAAAUAAGGAGGUCAUUGAGUUUUGUAUUGACUUUAUUCCUGACCUUAAGCCGAUUGGUGUUCCUGAAUCGCGGCAUAAGGGCAGACUGGAUGGAAAAGGCACGCUAGGAGGGAAUCAAAAAAUAUGUAUGGACGGACAUUCUCUCACUGAAGCACACUACACAGUUAUACAGAAUUCCGCCUUGGUGGCUCCGUAUAUGGACGAACACAAGAAUUUUCUACGCUCCAAACACCCGGAGCGGUCUGAUGACUGGAUUACAUGUGAACAAAUCAGGAGUUUCGCCGGCUAG
rnacentral:rRNA from 1 species